rnacentral:rRNA from 1 species
UGCAAGUCGAGCGGGGUGANGUAGCUUGCUACAUUACCUAGCGGCGGACGGGUGAGUAAUGCUUAGGAAUCUGCCUAUUAGUGGGGGACAACAUUCCGAAAGGAAUGCUAAUACCGCAUACGCCCUACGGGGGAAAGCAGGGGAUCUUCGGACCUUGCGCUAAUAGAUGAGCCUAAGUCAGAUUAGCUAGUUGGUGGGGUAAAGGCCUACCAAGGCGACGAUCUGUAGCGGGUCUGAGAGGAUGAUCCGCCACACUGGGACUGAGACACGGCCCAGACUCCUACGGGAGGCAGCAGUGGGGAAUAUUGGACAAUGGGCGAAAGCCUGAUCCAGCCAUGCCGCGUGUGUGAAGAAGGCCUUUUGGUUGUAAAGCACUUUAAGCGAGGAGGAGGCUACUUGGAUUAAUACUCUAGGAUAGUGGACGUUACUCGCAGAAUAAGCACCGGCUAACUCUGUGCCAGCAGCCGCGGUAAUACAGAGGGUGCGAGCGUUAAUCGGAUUUACUGGGCGUAAAGCGUGCGUAGGCGGCUUUUUAAGUCGGAUGUGAAAUCCCUGAGCUUAACUUAGGAAUUGCAUUCGAUACUGGGAAGCUAGAGUAUGGGAGAGGAUGGUAGAAUUCCAGGUGUAGCGGUGAAAUGCGUAGAGAUCUGGAGGAAUACCGAUGGCGAAGGCAGCCAUCUGGCCUAAUACUGACGCUGAGGUACGAAAGCAUGGGGAGCAAACAGGAUUAGAUACCCUGGUAGUCCAUGCCGUAAACGAUGUCUACUAGCCGUUGGGGCCUUUGAGGCUUUAGUGGCGCAGCUAACGCGAUAAGUAGACCGCCUGGGGAGUACGGUCGCAAGACUAAAACUCAAAUGAAUUGACGGGGGCCCGCACAAGCGGUGGAGCAUGUGGUUUAAUUCGAUGCAACGCGAA